rnacentral:rRNA from 1 species
AGGGAGCAAGCGUUGUUCGGAUUUACUGGGCGUAAAGGGCGCGUAGGCGGCGCGGUAAGUCAGUUGUGAAAUCUCUGAGCUUAACUCAGAACGGCCAAGUGAUACUGCAGUGCUAGAGUGCAGAAAGGGCAAUCGGAAUUCUUGGUGUAGCGGUGAAAUGCGUAGAUAUCAAGAGGAACACCUGAGGCGAAGGCGGGUUGCUAGGCUGACACUGACGCUGAAGCGCGAAAGCCAGGGGAGCAAACGGG